rnacentral:rRNA from 1 species
AAUCGAACCCGGAGAUAGCUGGUUCUCCCCGAAAUAGCUUUAGGGCUAGCCUCAAGUAGUAAGUAUAGGCGGUAGAGCACUGAUCGGGCUAGGGGCCAUAAAGGUUACCGAACCCUGUCAAACUCCGAAUGGUUAUACUGUAGAGCUUGGGAGUCAGACUACGAGUGAUAAGAUCCGUGGUCAAAAGGGAAACAGCCCAGACCACCAGCUAAGGUCCCCAAUGUCGUACUAAGUGGAAAAGGAUGUGGGGUCUCUAAAACAACCAGGAUGUUGGCUUAGAAGCAGCCACCAUUUAAAGAGUGCGUAAUAGCUCACUGGUCGAGAGACCCUGCGCCGAAGAUUACCGGGGCUAAAGUACGAAACCGAAGCUGUGGCUACGACGUAAGUCGUGGGGUAGGGGAGCGUUCUGUGAGGGCUGAAGUCGUUCUGUAAGGAACGGUGGACUUCACAGAAGUGAGAAUGUUGGUAUGAGUAGCGAAAAGAAUGGUGAGAAUCCAUUCCACCGAAAGCAUAAGGAUUCCUGGGCAACGAUCGUCGUCCCAGGGUAAGUCGGGACCUAAUCCGAGGCAUGGAGCGUAGGAGAUGGACAACUGGCAGAUAUUCCAGUACCGGUAAUGAUUGUUUGAGCGAUGGAGUGACACAGGAGGGCAGGCAGGCAGGAGAUUGGUUGUUCCUGUACAAGCGUGUAGGAUGGGACGUAGGCAAAUCCGCGUCCUGUGAGUCUGAGGCGUGAUGUGGAGGUUCCGGAAACGGAACUGAAGCUGCUGACCCCACACUGUCGAGAAAAGCUUCUAGUUAGAGAAUUACCGCCCGUACCGUAAACCGACACAGGUAUGCGGGGAGAGAAUCCUAAGGUGCGCGGGAGAACCCUCGUUAAGGAACUCGGCAAAAUGUACCCGUAACUUCGGGAUAAGGGUAGCCGCUGUUGUGAAGUCUGAACAGAUGGAGCAUGAGGCGGUCGCAGAGAAGAGGCCCAAGCGACUGUUUACCACAAACACAGGUGCCUGCUAAAGAGAAAUCUGACGUAUAGGUGCUGACACCUGCCCAGUGCCGGAAGGUUAAGGAAGGAUGUCCGGAGCAAUCCAAAGCAUUCGACCGAAGCCCCGGUGAACGGCGGCCGUAACUAUAACGGUCCUAAGGUAGCGAAAUUCCUUGUCGGGUAAGUUCCGACCCGCACGAAAGGUGUAACGAUUUGGGCACUGUCUCAACGAGGGACCCGGUGAAAUUGAAGUACCUGUGAAGAUGCAGGUUACCCGCGACUGGACAGAAAGACCCCAUGGAGCUUUACUGUAACCUGACAUUGGGUUCUGAUACAUCACGUACAGGAUAGGUGGGAGGCAUGGAAGCGAGGACGCUAGUCUUCGUGGAGCCGCCGUUGGGAUACCACCCUUGAUGUAUCGGAAUUCUAACCGUAGGAGUAACGAAACUCGGGACAGUGUCAGGCGGGCAGUUUGACUGGGGCGGUCGCCUCCCAAAGAGUAACGGAGGCGCCCAAAGGUUCCCUCAGCGCGGCCGGAAAUCGCGCGAAGAGUGUAAAGGCAGAAGGGAGCUUGACUGAGAGCCAAACACGGCGAUCAGGUACGAAAGUAGGGCUUAGUGAUCCGGUGGCAUCCAAGUGGAAGGGCCAUCGCUCAACGGAUAAAAGCUACCCUGGGGAUAACAGGCUAAUCUCUCCCAAGAGUCCAUAUCGACGGGGAGGUUUGGCACCUCGAUGUCGGCUCAUCACAUCCUGGGGCUGAAGUCGGUCCCAAGGGUUGGGCUGUUCGCCCAUUAAAGUGGUACGUGAGCUGGGUUCAGAACGUCGUGAGACAGUUCGGUCCCUAUCCAUCGCGGGCGCAAGAGAUUUGAAGGGGGCUGCUCCUAGUACGAGAGGACCGGAGUGGACGAACCAAUGGUGUACCAAUUAUCUCGCCAGAGGUAUAGUUGGGUAGCUACGUUCGGAAAGGAUAAACGCUGAAAGCAUCUAAGCGUGAAACCAGCCUUAAGAUGAGAUCUCUCAUAGAGUAAUCUAGUAAGACACCUUGG